rnacentral:rRNA from 1 species
GUCCUAGCCGUAAACGUUGGAUACUAGGUGUGGGCGGACAUCAACCCCGUCUGUGCCGUAGCUAACGCAUUAAGUAUCCCGCCUGGGGAGUACGGCCGCAAGGCUAAAACUCAAAGGAAUUGACGGGGGCCCGCACAAGCGGCGGAGCGUGUGGCUUAAUUCGAAGCAACGCGAAGAACCUUACCUGGACUUGACAUGCGGGGUGAAGCCGUGGAAACACGGUGCUCUUCGGAGCCCGCACAGGUGGUGCAUGGCUGUCGU